AUGUGGCUCGACAACUACUCGGUUACGCAUUAUCGUCCACACAAGGUGGUGCACUCGGACGUCAAUGUGCGCUACACGGUUGCAUGUGCAUGUGAAGAUGAAAUAUGUCUGUGGAUUGUGCAUGCAAGACCAUGGAAAGGAGGUCCCACUUGGCACGUAGUGAGUUGUGUGCCAACUCACAUGUGCCGAGGCAAAAGGGUGGAUGGCAAGAUUGUGUCCCAAGACCACAGACAACUCAUGUCUGAGUUCAUCGCUUACAGUCUCUCGAACUCAAUAUCCACACUUCCAACAAUGAGCGUCCAACAUGUCAUUGACCUUGUGAAAGCCAUCUUUCAUUACAAGGUGAAGUGCGGCAAGGCAUGGAAGGCGAAGCAAGCCGCAUUUAAGAUGUUGUAUGUUACUUGGGAGGAAGCAUACAACCGGAUCCCUAGGUUGUUGUUAGCCAUGUCCGCCACAAACCCGGGCAUGGUUCAUGUGGUCGAGCCUCAUGGGCACCAAACAACGGUUCAUGAAGGAAGGAAAGUCCGAGUAUUUGGUCGUGCAUUUUGGCCGUUCGAGCAACGCGUGAGGGCUUUCGAACACUGUAGGCCGGUCAUCUCCAUUGAUGGCACGUUCUUGACCGGACAAUACAAGGGCACCUUGUUGGUUGCGAUAGCAAGUGAUGCCAAUAACCGGGUGUUGCCAUUGGCAUUUGCUUUGGUUGAGGUGGAGAACAAUGACAACUGGGAGUGGUUUUUGCGUCUUUUGAGGACGAAGGUGUUACCCGCUCAAAGGGAAAUUUGUGUCAUAUCGGAUCGGCAUCCAAGAAUUCUUAAUGCGGUGGAGAUUGACAUUCCCGGGCAUGCUCCGUUGCACCAUCGAUGGUGCAUGAGGCACUUUUGUUCGAACUUCUAUAGGUCAUAUGGCCUUAAGGAGUUGGCCGAUGAUCUUCAAGAUUGUUGUCUCGCUUUCUCCGAGAAGCGGUUUGCCACUUUGUUGAACAAAUUGCUCGCACACAAAAAACUUGAUCCCUGGGGUCAAGACUUUAUCAAUAGGCACAUUCAACACCGGAACAAGUGGGCACGUGAUUUUGAUGAAGAUGGCCGGAGAUACGGUCAAAUGACAAGCAAUAUGGCCGAAUGCUUAAAUAGGGUGCUCAAAGGUGCACGUGGAUUACCCGUGACGGCAAUAGUUCAAUACACAUUUGACAAGAUGAAUGCAUACUUUCUAAAGUACUCGAUGGAAACUGAUGCACAGAUAGCGGGUGAGAACCCGCGCAAGUACAAGUACAAGUUCCCACCCAAGGUUGAUGAAUGGUUAAAAUUUCAAUCACGGAAGGCGGACUCAGAAGAAGCUAUAUUAUAUGACAAUGAAGAGUGGAAGUACGGAGUGAAAGAGCCAGGAGGAACCACAAACAAUGGCCGGCAACAUGUAGGUCGGGCUUUCAAGGUGUCGUUAACACAAUGUGAUUGCUCUUGCGGGAGGCCAUUGUUGCUUCAUCUCCCAUGCUCACACUUGUAUACCGCUGGUCGCGUUAGAAAUGUGGACAUCAAUCACCCAUGCACCAUGAGGGAGUUGGAGUUCUCAAUCAUGACGGUCAAGAAAACAUGGGCUCCCCGCUUUCACCCAUACUUUGACCAAUCACAAUGGCCGGAGUACCAUGGAGUUCAACUAUGGCCGGAUCCGGAGUUGAAGGUUGUUAAACGGGGUAGACGUAAGACAAAGCGUCUUAGAGGCGACAUGGACGGAUGGGGCCAUGGUGGCCGCCGCGAAGCGGGAAACAACCAAUUCCAAGAGCCUCGUGAGAGCUCCCGUUGUGGGGAAUGCAAAGGUCAUGGCCACAACAAAAGAAAAUGUACGAAACCAAGGAAAAGGUCCAAGAAAAAUGAUGCAAGCACUAGCCAACAAGGAGCUACAUAA
rnacentral:rRNA from 1 species